AUUCAACUGACGAGUCCCAAAUAGGACGAAACACGCGUCCUGGAU
rnacentral:hammerhead_ribozyme from 1 species